GUCCUCCGGGGGGCAGCAGUGGGGAAUUUUGGACAAUGGGCGCAAGCCUGAUCCAGCUCUUCCUCGUGUGUUAUGAAGGCCCUCGGGUUGUAAACCACUUUUGUAGAGAACGAAAAGACACCUUCGAAUAAAGGGUGUUGCUGACGGUACUCUAAGAAUAAGCACCGGCUAACUACGUGCCAGCAGCCGCGGUAAUACGUAGGGUGCGAGCGUUAAUCGGAAUUACUGGGCGUAAAGGGUGCGCAGGCGGUUGAGUAAGACAGAUGUGGAA
rnacentral:rRNA from 1 species